rnacentral:rRNA from 1 species
GAUGAACGCUGGCGGCGUGCCUAAUACAUGCAAGUCGAGCGAACGGACGAGAAGCUUGCUUCUCUGAUGUUAGCGGCGGACGGGUGAGUAACACGUGGAUAACCUACCUAUAAGACUGGGAUAACUUCGGGAAACCGGAGCUAAUACCGGAUAAUAUUUUGAACCGCAUGGUUCAAAAGUGAAAGACGGUCUUGCUGGCACUUAUAGAUGGAUCCGCGCUGCAUUAGCUAGUUGGUAAGGUAACGGCUUACCAAGGCAACGAUGCAUAGCCGACCUGAGAGGGUGAUCGGCCACACUGGAACUGAGACACGGUCCAGACUCCUACGGGAGGCAGCAGUAGGGAAUCUUCCGCAAUGGGCGAAAGCCUGACGGAGCAACGCCGCGUGAGUGAUGAAGGUCUUCGGAUCGUAAAACUCUGUUAUUAGGGAAGAACAUAUGUGUAAGUAACUGUGCACAUCUUGACGGUACCUAAUCAGAAAGCCACGGCUAACUACGUG